rnacentral:rRNA from 2 species
AGAGUUUGAUCAUGGCUCAGAUUGAACGCUGGCGGCAGGCCUAACACAUGCAAGUCGAACGGUAACAGGAAGCAGCUUGCUGCUUUGCUGACGAGUGGCGGACGGGUGAGUAAUGUCUGGGAAACUGCCUGAUGGAGGGGGAUAACUACUGGAAACGGUGGCUAAUACCGCAUAACGUCGCAAGACCAAAGAGGGGGACCUUCGGGCCUCUUGCCAUCAGAUGUGCCCAGAUGGGAUUAGCUUGUUGGUGAGGUAACGGCUCACCAAGGCGACGAUCCCUAGCUGGUCUGAGAGGAUGACCAGCCACACUGGAACUGAGACACGGCCCAGACUCCUACGGGAGGCAGCAGUGGGGAAUAUUGCACAAUGGGCGCAAGCCUGAUGCAGCCAUGCCGCGUGUAUGAAGAAGGCCUUCGGGUUGUAAAGUACUUUCAGCGGGGAGGAAGGUGUUGUGGUUAAUAACCGCAGCAAUUGACGUUACCCGCAGAAGAAGCACCGGCUAACUCCGUGCCAGCAGCCGCGGUAAUACGGAGGGUGCAAGCGUUAAUCGGAAUUACUGGGCGUAAAGCGCACGCAGGCGGUCUGUCAAGUCGGAUGUGAAAUCCCCGGGCUCAACCUGGGAACUGCAUUCGAAACUGGCAGGCUUGAGUCUUGUAGAGGGGGGUAGAAUUCCAGGUGUAGCGGUGAAAUGCGUAGAGAUCUGGAGGAAUACCGGUGGCGAAGGCGGCCCCCUGGACAAAGACUGACGCUCAGGUGCGAAAGCGUGGGGAGCAAACAGGAUUAGAUACCCUGGUAGUCCACGCCGUAAACGAUGUCUACUUGGAGGUUGUGCCCUUGAGGCGUGGCUUCCGGAGCUAACGCGUUAAGUAGACCGCCUGGGGAGUACGGCCGCAAGGUUAAAACUCAAAUGAAUUGACGGGGGCCCGCACAAGCGGUGGAGCAUGUGGUUUAAUUCGAUGCAACGCGAAGAACCUUACCUGGUCUUGACAUCCACAGAAGAAUCCAGAGAUGGAUUUGUGCCUUCGGGAACUGUGAGACAGGUGCUGCAUGGCUGUCGUCAGCUCGUGUUGUGAAAUGUUGGGUUAAGUCCCGCAACGAGCGCAACCCUUAUCCUUUGUUGCCAGCGGUUAGGCCGGGAACUCAAAGGAGACUGCCAGUGAUAAACUGGAGGAAGGUGGGGAUGACGUCAAGUCAUCAUGGCCCUUACGACCAGGGCUACACACGUGCUACAAUGGCGCAUACAAAGAGAAGCGACCUCGCGAGAGCAAGCGGACCUCAUAAAGUGCGUCGUAGUCCGGAUUGGAGUCUGCAACUCGACUCCAUGAAGUCGGAAUCGCUAGUAAUCGUGGAUCAGAAUGCCACGGUGAAUACGUUCCCGGGCCUUGUACACACCGCCCGUCACACCAUGGGAGUGGGUUGCAAAAGAAGUAGGUAGCUUAACCUUCGGGAGGGCGCUUACCACUUUGUGAUUCAUGACUGGGGUGAAGUCGUAACAAGGUAACCGUAGGGGAACCUGCGGUUGGAUCACCU